rnacentral:rRNA from 1 species
AGCUCGAUGAGUAGGGCGGGACACGUGGUAUCCUGUCUGAAUAUGGGGGGACCAUCCUCCAAGGCUAAAUACUCCUGACUGACCGAUAGUGAACCAGUACCGUGAGGGAAAGGCGAAAAGAACCCCGGCGAGGGGAGUGAAAAAGAACCUGAAACCGUGUACGUACAAGCAGUGGGAGCCCCACCACUAAGCCAGUGGUGAACUCCACAUCCGCAUCCUUUGCUGAGGAUACGGUUAACGGAGCGAAAGCGACGUUCAACCGCAAAACAAGCAGAGGGGGCUUAGUGGUGGGGUGACUGCGUACCUUUUGUAUAAUGGGUCAGCGACUUAUAUUCUGUAGCAAGGUUAACCGAAUAGGGGAGCCGGAGGGAAACCGAGUCUUAAUUGGGCGUUAAGUUGCAGGGUAUAGACCCGAAACCCGGUGAUCUAGCCAUGGGCAGGUUGAAGGUUGGGUAACACUAACUGGAGGACCGAACCGACUAAUGUUGAAAAAUUAGCGGAUGACCUGUGGCUGGGGGUGAAAGGCCAAUCAAACCGGGAGAUAGCUGGUUCUCCCCGAAAGCUAUUUAGGUAGCGCCUCGUGAAUUCAUCUCCGGGGGUAGAGCACUGUUUCGGCUAGGGGGCCAUCCCGGCUUACCAACCCGAUGCAAACUGCGAAUACCGGAGAAUGUUAUCACGGGAGACACACGGCGGGUGCUAACGUCCGUCGUGAAGAGGGAAACAACCCAGACCGCCAGCUAAGGUCCCAAAGUCAUGGUUAAGUGGGAAACGAUGUGGGAAGGCCCAGACAGCCAGGAUGUUGGCUUAGAAGCAGCCAUCAUUUAAAGAAAGCGUAAUAGCUCACUGGUCGAGUCGGCCUGCGCGGAAGAUGUAACGGGGCUAAACCAUGCACCGAAGCUGCGGCAGCGAACGUAUCACCCAAGACAACUUUACGGAGUUGACGAUUGACGGAGCGAAGCGACGUCAAAGCGUUCAUUAAAGUCGAGUUGGCUUAGGGAUACGUUCGUUGGGUAGGGGAGCGUUCUGUAAGCCUGUGAAGGUGUGUCGUGAGGCAUGCUGGAGGUAUCAGAAGUGCGAAUGCUGACAUAAGUAACGAUAAAGCGGGUGAAAAGCCCGCUCGCCGGAAGACCAAGGGUUCCUGUCCAACGUUAAUCGGGGCAGGGUGAGUCGACCCCUAA